UGAGUGAGUUUUUUUUUUUGUGUGAACUACAUUGCAUGUUUUUGGUUUCCUGGGCACCUCUAACUGAGAAGAGAAGGAAUGGCCAGGGUGAAGUGGUGACUCUUUUCAUGACCUUGCAAUAAGAUGGUCUGUUUGUUAUGACAUUGUUUCUUUAGUGGGAAAUAGCAUAUAUGCAAUUAGUAAAUAGAGAAAUGGUGUCAAGAUGAACCAAAAUUAUGUUAGAUUUUCAUGUGAGAUUUUCCUCAGAGCAUCAAUAUUUUGAAACAAUCAGGGACAAGAUUGAAUAACUUAAGAAGAAAAGCUGGAAAUUUUAUAGAAGUGCCUUCCUUACUGCAAGUAAGGCUGGGUUAGUAGCUUCAAGAAUCACUAUUAGUCUUUCCACCAUGUUCAGCUAUCUGGGGAAACUGAGUAGAAUGAAAGAAGCUGUGGCAAUGCCCUGCCCAGUUUUGUUUUUAAAAAAUGUUGAAGAAGGAAGGCCCCGUUCUGGAUCACGUUUUUACUUUGGAUGGAACUCAUCUCCGCUGCCCUCCAUCUCAGGAAGCAGCGUGAGCCCAGGAGUGAAGGCUGCCAGGCCUGGUCACGCGGCGGCGGCGUUGGUGGGGGUUUAACUGUGGCAGCAGCAUCACUGGGUGUGUUUUGUUGUUGCUCUGGCCACAGAAUUCCAUAGGUUUUGUGUGGUCUGCCCAACCCCCUUUUCUGAUAUUUUGGAGUAUGAUAAUUCAGGAUGCAGUAUUUUUAGCAUGAUAGUAGAAAUGACUGUAUUUGCUGAGUGCCAGCUUGAAUCUUCCACUGGCUGCCAAACAUGACCAAAAAAUUGUUUCUAGUGUAUCCUUUUGGGGAUGAUCGCCAGGGAACAAAGUAUGAGGUGAUGUUCUCAGCGUGGGAGGAGAGAGUAGUGUGUAAUGUGUGUGGUGCUGUGGGGAUUAGGAGUUACAGUUUGAGGUGUGUUUGUGCAACCUAAGAAGAGAAAUGCCACUGUGCACGUGUGUGUGUGUGUGUGUGUGUGUGUGUAACAUGUAAAACACCACCCAGCUACCUACAAGGACCCUCCAGAGGUUUAGGUAACACCCUCCCCACCCUUGGUCCUUGCUUUCCCAAAGGAUUUCCAGUCUCCUGGUUUUCACCUUUGCUGGUACCAUGGGGAAAAUACUGCCCUGCUUAUAAACUUGUUUUCCUGGUAACUUAUCCUCAAGGAUUACCUCCUGCUGGGCCAUUUCUGCACCUUCUAUGUGCUUCCACGCUUAGCACUUUAUGAGAUAAUUAGCUGUUAACUUGGCCCCUAUAUCCAACUAAACUUCAUAUGUAUGUGAGUCAGCUCCUUUCCCCAUGAGCACUGAAUUUGAGGUCAGAGAACCUAGGUUUGAGUUUGUUUAUGACCUCAGUUAUGACUACUGUCCCUAUUAAUGACAGUGGAGUGACUGCUGGGUGCCAGGAAUGGUGCAAGGUCUCUUACUUACCUACAAGGCACAUUUUUACUCAAACUAGCAGGGCAGGCAUCAUUAUCCCUGCCUUUCUCCCCACUUUUUUUUUUUUUAAAGAGACAGGGUCUGACUCUCUUGUCCAGGAUGGAAUGCAGUGGUAUGGUCAUAGCUCACUGCAACUGUGGCCUCAAAGGAUCCUCCAACCUCAGCCUCUCAAGUAGCUGGGACUACAGGUGACGUGCCUUGAGAACGCCCAUGAAUGAAGAGUGUCCGUUUCUUCGCUCUUGCCAACAAUCUGUUAUUAAGCUUUGUCAACUUGGCCAAUGUAAUAGGAAAUUAGAAGAUACAGAUUGUCAUGACGAAAAAAGCAGCAGCUUCACCUAGAGAUCACCGCUGUCCACGCUUGUUGGGCAGGAGCGUCUUGUGGGCCACGGGCACAGGCCAGGAUCUACAGGCAUAAAGAGGACAACUACGCAGGGUGAUGCCGCACGAACGUGCCGUGACAGGACGGGACACGCCGUCUCCCAGUCCAUUCGACUCAGCCACUUUCUCCUGGGCUUGGACUUGGCGAUCUCUGGUUGGUUGGUCGAGCCCCUAGGAAAAGUAGUUGGCUUGCAUUUAGGGGACAGGUGGUAUGAAAAAUACACAUCUUGACGCAUUAGCACCAUAGCCAGCGUGGAAUGGGGCAAAUGCUCCCAUUCUGGGAGGCAGAUGAGAACUGAGAGGGACUGAAAUCUCAGCAGCCUUGUGUCCCCAUCUCUCUCGUGCUCAGUGAGUGCCGGGUCGGAUCUCCUGCACUAUUUAAGUUGUUCUCUCUCUGUCUCUCUUUCUCUUCCUGCCCCCGACCCGCACCUUGCGGAGUGUACAAGUUGAACUCGGAGCAGUUGAAUCGCGUGCAUGACAUAACUCUACUGUAUCUCUUUUCAAUAUUUCCUUAUGCACGUGGAUGCAUCUAUAUGACUGAAUGACAAAAACAAGAUCAUAUUGUACAUGUUCUUUUCAUUUAUUAAAUCCUGGACCUUUUUGUAUAA